rnacentral:tRNA from 2 species
GGCGGCGUACCCAAGAGGCCCAAGGGAGCGGUCUGCAAAACCGCGACUCACCGGUUCAAAUCCGGUCGCCGCCU